rnacentral:tRNA from 2 species
GGAGGCAUAGCUCAGUUGGUCAGAGCGCACGGUUCACAUCCGUGAGGUCGCAGGUUCGAGCCCUGCUGUCUCCACCA